UGGGGGAUAAAGUAGCGAAAGUUACGCUAAUUCCGCAUAAGAUUUACGGAUGAAAGCGGGGGACCGUAAGGCCUCGCGCGAUUGGAGCGGCCGAUGUUAGAUUAGGUAGUUGGUGGGGUAAAGGCUCACCAAGCCGACGAUUUAUAGCUGGUUUGAGAGGAUGAUUAGCCACACUGGGAAUGAGACACGGCCCAGACUCCUACGGGAGGCAGCAGUGGGGAAUUUUGGACAAUGGGGGCAAGCCUGAUCCAGCCAUUUCGCGUGCAGGAAGGAGGCCUUUGGGUUGUAAAAUGCUUUUGUACAGAAAGAAAAACCUUGGGUUAAUACCCUGGGGUCAUGAC
rnacentral:rRNA from 1 species